CCUACGGGAGGCAGCAGUGGGGAAUAUUGGACAAUGGGGGGAACCCUGAUCCAGCCAUGCCGCGUGUGUGAAGAAGGCCCUCGGGUUGUAAAGCACUUUCAGUGAGGAAGAACGCCUGGUGGUUAAUACCCAUCAGGAAAGACAUCACUCACAGAAGAAGCACCGGCUAACUCCGUGCCAGCAGCCGCGGUAAUACGGAUGGUGCGAGCGUUAAUCGGAAUUACUGGGCGUAAAGCGCGCGUAGGUGGCUUGAUAAGCCGGUUGUGAAAGCCCCGGGCUCAACCUGGGAACGGCAUCCGGAACUGUCAAGCUAGAGUGCAGGAGAGGAAGGUAGAAUUCCCGGUGUAGCGGUGAAAUGCGUAGAGAUCGGGAGGAAUACCAGUGGCGAAGGCGGCCUUCUGGACUGACACUGACACUGAGGUGCGAAAGCGUGGGUAGCAAACAGGAUUAGAUACCCCAGUAGUC
rnacentral:rRNA from 1 species